AUCUUCCACAAUGGACGAAAGUCUGAUGGAGCAACGCCGCGUGAGUGAAGAAGGUUUNNNGAUCGNAAAACUCUGUUGUUGGANAAANACGUACGUGAGAGUAACUGUUCACGUAGUGACGGUAUCCAACCAGAAAGCCACGGCUAACUACGUGCCAGCAGCCGCGGUAAUACGUAGGUGGCAAGCGUUAUCCGGAUUUAUUGGGCGUAAAGCGAGCGCAGGCGGUUUCUUAAGUCUGAUGUGAAAGCCCUCGGCUCAACCGAGGAAGUGCAUCGGAAACUGGGAAACUUGAGUGCAGAAGAGGACAGUGGAACUCCAUGUGUAGCGGUGGAAUGCGUAGAUAUAUGGAAGAACACCAGUGGCGAAGGCGGCUGUCUGGUCUGUAACUGACGCUGAGGCUCGAAAGCAUGGGUAGCGAAC
rnacentral:rRNA from 1 species